rnacentral:lncRNA from 1 species
CCUGUAAAAUUGGUGUAGUGUUUAUGAGAUCUCUGACUGCAUGUUCUAAGAAGGUUGUGAAAGUACAGAAUCGAAGGAAAUAUCACAGAACAUGCUGGAAUAGUUUCAAGUGAUGUAAAUUAAAUUUCACCAAAAAAUUACCAUCUCCAGCGGAGAACCAAUAACACCAAGAGGUAGCUUCAUGCCUCCAACACGCCGAGUUCCAUACAUAAAUCCAGGCCUCAGAAUUACUCCUGAAAGAACGCUUAUGAAUCGUGAACAUCAAUAAAACAUUACCAGUAACCAUUAUCUUGUAGUGCAAAGAUGAUGGUUAUCUGUCAAAUAAUGACUGCUAUGUGAAUUGGUGGGCAGAUAAACUUUAUGAAAAAUGUUUUGUAUCAAUAAACAUUGAGUCGAGCAGUCUAGGAACUAUAUUGAUAUUAGAGGUUGUAAUCUUAGUGUAUUGUUUGCCUCAGAACUUAUGUACGCUGAUAAUAUGUAGGAGAUCAAGCAGUCCAGGAUGAAUGAGGCCACUUUGGUUAUGUAAAUUAAAUUCAGGGACAUUGGGGGGACAUGAUUUCUUCUACUGAAUAUUGAUACAAUAGAGUUUACCGACGCAGUUUGAUUUCGGUGCUAAAAUCUACUAGUAUAAUAGAUAGACAGAUGAACUAGAAUGUAUGUCCAGCCUGCCUACAUUAAGGUUGUUUAUAAAGUCUUGAUGAAUAGAAGACCCACCUCCAUACGGAAAUUUAGUAAGCAAUUCUGUCUCAGCUGCUCUCUGUAUUGCAUAUAGAAGUGCCAUGAAUUAGUCAUGAAUAACUUACCCAAUAUAGAGAUAAUAAACUCAUCACGGAUUAAAAGAUUUUACUUCCGGCAUUAUAGUAACAUAACCAUAAACAAUCAGAACAUAAAUAUUACUCUCACAAAUAUUGAUAUAUAUAUAUAUAUAUAUAUAUAUAUAUAUAUAUAUAUAUAUAUAUAUAUAUCAAACUAUCAUCAAAACAAACUAGUGAAAAUCCAACUACAAACUAAAACAAUUACAUCUGCACCACGACGUGUAGGAGAUAAUCGAUCCACUCACAAAUCCAAAAAACCCUCUGAAAGCGAAUAAGAAUGAAAAUCGAAAGUUUCGGUGAUAUUGAUCUAAAAAAAGUUUCCCCAAAGAAGGAGAUUUACUAAAAAAAUCAAUGAAAAAGCAAGAUCAAUCAAAGAACAAACAAUCAAACGUAAAGAUUUGGAGUUUUCCAUUGGAAAACCGUUGCAAGCCCCGUCGGGGAUGAAAAAAGAGAGGCGGCAGAGAAAAGAGAAAAAAGAAAAACUAGCGUUAGGCAAAAAGAGUUUAUAACAGUACACUACCAUACGGUUGUUAAACAGCAAACUGGAAAUACGAUUUUUUAGAUGGUAAGAUUUUGUUUUUGUCUCGGACUCUGUUGAUCGAAUCGAAAUUAGUUUUUCGAAAAAAAAAAUCACACCGUAUUUAUCGAAUCGAAAUCAGAUUACAAAUUUUUUUUUCAUGACUAAUUUUAAUUAGAUAUUUAUGUAAAUAGAAGAGAUCUCAUUAAUAAUAUUAAUAAUUAAUAAUAAUAAUGUUAGUAACAUUAAUUAUAAAUUACUAACUAAAUUUAAUUUUAAAAAAUUUGGUAACAAUUUUGGACACCUAAAUUUUUUCUUUAAAAUCCUUUAUUUUAAGUUGAAGAUUAAAACGAAUGUCAUAAGUCAUAAAUUAAAUUUCUGAGAAUUAUCUCACAGCCCCCGGCAUAUUCUUUUACUAAUUUAAUUUUUUGAUUGUAAUUUGUAUUUUUCUUUGUAUAUACAGUAUCAUAUAUGUCCAUAAAUAAUUAGGCUUCAAGACAAAAACAGCAAGGGGAAAAAAAUGUAAUAUUGGUAUGGCUGAUGUCACUGCGGUAGCCACAAACUUCCAACAUAAUAUUUUUAUUUGCCUCAUAAAUCAACCUCCUAAAAAUGAAAGCACGGCACUGCAACACUACCAUUCCCAGUUCAUUUGGAAACAGGACAACAUUGAAAAUUUGAGCCUAAUGAAGAGAAUUUGAGAUGGCGAAGGUACGAUACAACGUUACGAACAUGGAUAAAUCUAAUCAAAUGAAGCUGAGCGGAACCUAUGCUAUGACAGAAAUCGAGAGGGCAAUGUACACCAACAUCACAUUGAAAAAUAUCAUAACAGUUUCACUCUGCCUCUGUUUAUUUGUGAUAAUUUUAUUUCGUGAAGAAUCCGGACAGACAUUCCAAUUAACAGGAAAUCAUUCCAUUUAAGCAGCUCAACAUAUAUUUAAAUUUAUAUUUAGGACUAAAGCGAGAAUUUCACUACUAACUAAAGAAUCAACUAAAAGAACAAACUUAGAUAGACUUUUGCUGCCCGUAGCGCAGUAAUCCAUGAACAUCUAUGAUCCCAGGAGGGAAAACAGGAUCAGUUGCUGCUCUAACUGCGACCUUUGCCACUGCUGUUACAUUGAUAGGAGGAACCAGUAGAGGUCCCACAAGAGGAACCUGAUUCAGAGGCUUUGCAUACUGGAGAACCUGUAAAAUUGGUGUAGUGUUUAUGAGAUCUCUGACUGCAUGUUCUAAGAAGGUUGUGAAAGUACAGAAUCGAAGGAAAUAUCACAGAACAUGCUGGAAUAGUUUCAAGUGAUGUAAAUUAAAUUUCACCAAAAAAUUACCAUCUCCAGCGGAGAACCAAUAACACCAAGAGGUAGCUUCAUGCCUCCAACACGCCGAGUUCCAUAC